rnacentral:lncRNA from 10 species
AAACAACUGUCUACACUCUUUGUGGGCAAGAGCUUGCCAGGCUGUGCUUCAUGGUCACUAAGGAUGCUGGCUGGGAAGGAGCAGGAUGGGAUGCUUGGGCAGAAGAGGGAUACAGCUGAGGAGUUGCAGGUCCUGUGCUAGGGGCUAGGAAGACAAAGAGAAACAGAGUCACAUCCUCCCACAAAAAUCCAUGAGAUGUCGGAGAGCCGAACUUGUAAACAGCCAUCAUCAACACAAAGAAGGAUGCACUGAUGCUCUCUAGAGGCUCACAGGAAAUGAUUCAUGGGCAUAGAGGUGUGCAAUUUGCUUCCUGCCCCAGCCCUGACCCUGAGAUGCAGCAUGGAGGGAGUAGAGGGGUGGGGUUUGCGAAGUCACUUCCAGUCAUCGUGGGACCUUUAUGGAAACCUGGGCUCCACUCCACAGGAUGAGUCUCAACUGGAACCCUUGCCCAUUGGGCUCACUGUUCCAAUCUAAAGGGCAGGCUUUCCACUACUCUUUGGGACUUGUAGUUUGUGGGUUUUUUUCACAUGCACAUCAUCUUACUUACAGUUCCCCAAGAAUAAAAGCUUUCCAUCUCAAUUCUGGGCACUCUAAGUUUACCUGUAUUUCCUUUUCACUUUAAACAAAGGUAGUCAUAGGAGCCCGUCAUUUCCCAUGACUCAGGGAAUUGAGUUCAUGUUGCUUGCCUUGUGAGUGCUUACAGCCUGUAUGUCAUAGCAUUUAGAAAUGUCACUGAACCUAGGUUCGGCUGCUCGCUCCUUGAGAGCCAAACUGGAGACACAAGAGUUGGUCGGAGGAGAAGUAGGUUUAUGAGGAGCUGGCAACCUGAGGAGAUGGUGGGCUAGUGUCACAAAGACCAUCUCGAAUUUCUCAGGCUGGCCAGGGGUGUUAUGCGAGGGGGAGUCUGGGGGAAUUAUGUACAAGAGCUGAAUACAUGCUGGUCAGUCUGUCUAGUCUCAAUGACUGUCUUGAAUAAUGGGCCACCUGGUGGUCUGGCUGGCAUUAGCUUGAUUGCAACAGGAAUACAGAUGAACGGCUCAGCCUUCUUUCCAGAGUGGGAUGUUCUGCAACCUGGAUUCCAUGCUUAGCGUUUCAGGUCAGUCCCUGCAGUUCUUUAAGCAAAG